GAUUUCUGGUCUGGUGCGCCUGGCCCGCGGCAUUAGCUUGUGAGUGCCGGGUCGCGCCUGCCAUCCUUCUAGAAAACGUAUCUACCCUUCACUGGGCCGGAUCACGCGAUCUAGAUCUUUUACUUUGAAAAAAUUAGAGUGUUUAAAGCAGGCAUUUGCUAUGAAUACAUUAGCAUGGAAUAAUAAUUUAGGACUUCGGUUCUAUUUUGUUGGUUUCUAGGACUGAAGUAAUGAUUGAUAGGGAUAGUUGGGGGUGCUAGUAUUCAGCGGCCAGAGGUGAAAUUCUCGGAUUCGCUGAAGACUAACUUAUGCGAAAGCAUU
rnacentral:rRNA from 1 species